AUUGAACGCUGGCGGCAGGCCUAACACAUGCGAGUCGAGCGGAUGAGUGGAGCUUGCUCCAUGAUUCAGCGGCGGACGGGUGAGUAAUGCCUAGGAAUCUGCCUAUUAGUGGGGGACAACGUUUCGAAAGGAACGCUAAUACCGCAUACGUCCUACGGGAGAAAGCAGGGGACCUUCGGGCCUUGCGCUAAUAGAUGAGCCUAGGUCGGAUUAGCUAGUUGGUGAGGUAAUGGCUCACCAAGGCGACGAUCCGUAACUGGUCUGAGAGGAUGAUCAGUCACACUGGAACUGAGACACGGUCCAGACUCCUACGGGAGGCAGCAGUGGGGAAUAUUGGACAAUGGGCGAAAGCCUGAUCCAGCCAUGCCGCGUGUGUGAAGAAGGUCUUCGGAUUGUAAAGCACUUUAAGUUGGGAGGAAGGGUUGUACGUUAAUACCGUGCAAUUUUGACGUUACCGACAGAAUAAGCACCGGCUAACUCUGUGCCAGCCGCCGCAGUAA
rnacentral:rRNA from 1 species